rnacentral:rRNA from 1 species
AGUGAACGCUGGCGGUAGGCCUAACCAUUCCAAUUCAACCGUCACCCAGCUAAGAGCUUCCCCUUCGGGUGGCCGGUGGGCGGCCGGUUAAGGCAUAAAUCGAAUUCUACUUUUUGGUGGGGCUUAAGGUAGGGAAAUUUAGCCUAAACCCCCUUACACCCAUGGGUGGAAGGCAGGGGUUCUUGGGCCUUGCCCGGUUGGAUCGAGCGAUGUCGGAUUAGCUAGUUGGCGGGGUAAAGGCCCACCAAGGCGACGGUUCGUAGCUGGUCUGAGAGGAUGAUCAGCCACACUGGAACUGAGACACGGUCCAGACUCCUACGGGAGGCAGCAGUGGGGAAUAUUGGACAAUGGGCGCAAGCCUGAUCCAGCCAUACCGCGUGGGUGAAGAAGGCCUUCGGGUUGUAAAGCCCUUUUGUUGGGAAAGAAAAGCAGCAGGUUAAUACCCCGCUGUUCUGACGGUACCCAAAGAAUAAGCACCGGCUAACUUCGUG